rnacentral:rRNA from 1 species
GACGGAGGAUGCAAGUGUUAUCCGGAAUCACUGGGCGUAAAGCGUCUGUAGGUGGUUUAAUAAGUCAACUGUUAAAUCUUGAGGCUCAACCUCAAAAUCGCAGUCGAAACUAUUAGGCUAGAGUAUAGUAGGGGUAAAGGGAAUUUCCAGUGGAGCGGUGAAAUGCGUAGAGAUUGGAAAGAACACCAACGGCGAAAGCAUUCUGCUGGGCCGACACUGACACUGAGAGACGAAAGCUAGGGGAGCGAAUGGG